rnacentral:rRNA from 1 species
UACAGAGGUCCCAAGCGUUGUUCGGAUUCACUGGGCGUAAAGGGUGCGUAGGUGGUCAGGCAAGUCUGAUGUGAAAUCUCCGAGCUCAACUCGGAAACUGCAUCGGAAACUGCUUGGCUAGAGGGUUGAAGGGGGGACUGGAAUACUUGGUGUAGCAGUGAAAUGCGUAGAUAUCAAGUGGAACACCAGUGGCGAAGGCGAGUCCCUGGACAACUCCUGACACUGAGGCACGAAAGCUAGGGGAGCAAACAGG